GUAACGCGUCAGCGCGCCACGCCGAGACGUGCCACGCCCCCUCCCCGAGGAGCGGCUUCUUAAAGGGGCCGCGAUUGUCAUCAACAGGUUCUGACCCCUCCAGCAGGGCAGCCGUCUAGGAUGGAGGAUUUUCCCCCGUGGCCUUGGCCUCCUUGGGACUGCUCUCCAGGCCAGAAUCGCUGGCCCCAGGCAGCGUGGUGACAGACGUCGUGCUCUUGGUGCUCCUUGUGGAAUCACGCCGGCUACCAAAGAUGGAGACACGUCUCCAGAUGACCCGGAUGUUGAGGCUCUCAGAUGAAUGCACCUCAGAGGUUGGGUCCACGAUCCGCAGUUGCUGCUUGCACCUAGGCCUGAGCUUGCUGUCUGCAAUGGAGGAGCGUAGGCUAUCAGCAUGUUGACCAGACUACACGCCUACCCCAGGCCUCACCCAUCCUUCCUUUUUGUUGGAAUUAUUUAUGCAGGAUAUUGUCAUGACACUGAUUUAACCAUAAAUUCCUUUAUUGAA